ACAACCGUAGCUCAGUUGGUUAGAGCACCACCUUGACAUGGUGGGGGUCGGUGGUUCGAAUCCACUCGGUCGUACCA
rnacentral:tRNA from 1 species